rnacentral:rRNA from 1 species
UGUUGGUAUCUUAGUGGCGGACGGGUGAGUAACGCGUGGGUAACCUGCCUUAUACAGGGGGAUAACACUUAGAAAUAGGUGCCAAGACCGCAUAAGCGCCCAGGGCCGCAUGGCCCAGGGUGAAAAACUCCGGUGGUAUAAGAUGGGCCCGCGUCUGAUUAGCCAGUUGGCAGGGUAACGGCCUACCAAAGCGACGAUCAGUAGCCGGCCUGAGAGGGUGGACGGCCACAUUGGGACUGAGACACGGCCCAAACUCCUACGGGAGGCAGCAG